AACGAACGCUGGCGGCGGGGUUAGGUCAUGCAAGUCGAGCGAGAAAAGACGCAAGCUGAGUACAGCGGCGUAAGGGUGAGUAAUAGGUAGUCAACGUACCGGGCAGACGCGAAUAAUUUCCCGAAAGGGAUUGUAAUGCGCGAUGAGAUCACGGGCACCACGGUGCAUGGGAUCAAAGGUCGGGGAGUCCUUCGGGACCUGGCGGCUGUCUGAGCGGACUACCUCUGAUUAGCUAGUUGGCGGGGUAACGGCCC
rnacentral:rRNA from 1 species